AAACUUUCAACAACGGAUCUCUUGGCUGUGGCAUCGAUGAAGAACGCAGCGAAAUGCGAUAACUAAUGUGAAUUGCAGAAUUCAGUGAAUCAUCGAGUCUUUGAACGCACAUUGCGCCCGCUGGUAUUCCGGCGGGCAUGCCUGUCCGAGCGUCAUU
rnacentral:rRNA from 2 species